AUUGAACGCUGGCGGCAGGCUUAACACAUGCAAGUCGAGCGGUAACAGAGAGAAGCUUGCUUCUCUGCUGACGAGCGGCGGACGGGUGAGUAAUGCCUAGGAAUCUGCCUAGUAGUGGGGGAUAACUUGCCGAAAGGUAAGCUAAUACCGCAUACGUCCUACGGGAGAAAGGAGGGGACCUUCGGGCCUUUCGCUAUUAGAUGAGCCUAGGUCGGAUUAGUUAGUUGGUGAGGUAAUGGCUCACCAAGACCGCGAUCCGUAACUGGUCUGAGAGGUUGAUCAGUCACACUGGAACUGAGACACGGUCCAGACUCCUACGGGAGGCAGCAGUGGGGAAGAUUGGACAAUGGGGGGAACCCUGAUCCAGCCAUGCCGCGUGUGUGAAGAAGGUCUUAGGAUUGUAAAGCACUUUAAGUUGGGAGGAAGAGCAGUUAACUAAUAUUUGACUGUUUUGACGUUACCGACAGAAUAAGCACCGGCUAACUUCGUGCCAGCCGCCGCGGUAA
rnacentral:rRNA from 1 species